AUUGAACGCUGGCGGAAUGCUUUACACAUGCAAGUCGAACGGCAGCACGGACUUCGGUCUGGUGGCGAGUGGCGAACGGGUGAGUAAUGUAUCGGAACGUGCCCAGUCGUGGGGGAUAACGUAGUGAAAAUUACGCUAAUACCGCAUACGAUCUAUGGAUGAAAGCGGGGGAUCGCAAGACCUCGCGCGAUUGGAGCGGCCGAUAUCAGAUUAGGUAGUUGGUGGGGUAAAGGCCCACCAAGCCAACGAUCUGUAGCUGGUCUGAGAGGACGACCAGCCACACUGGAACUGAGACACGGUCCAGACUCCUACGGGAGGCAGCAGUGGGGAAUUUUGUACAAUGGGCGAAAGCCUGAUCCGGCCAUUCCGCGUGCAGGAUGAAGGCCCUCGGGUUGUAGACUGCUUUUGUACAGAACGAAAAGGUUUCUACUAAUACUAGGAGCUCAUGACGGUACUGUAAGAAUAAGCACCGGCUAACUACGUGCCAGCCGCCGCAGUAA
rnacentral:rRNA from 1 species